GAUGAACGCUGGCGGCGUGCUUAACACAUGCAAGUCGAGCGAAGCAGUUAAGUUGAUUUCUUCGGAUUGAUUCUUAACUGACUGAGCGGCGGACGGGUGAGUAACGCGUGGGUGACCUGCCCCAUACCGGGGGAUAACAGCUGGAAACGGCUGCUAAUACCGCAUAAGCGCACAGCGCUGCAUGGCUCGGUGUGAAAAACUCCGGGGGUAUGGGAUGGGCCCGCGUCUGAUUAGGCAGUUGGCGGGGUAACGGCCCACCAAACCGACGAUCAGUAGCCGGCCUGAGAGGGCGACCGGCCACAUUGGGACUGAGACACGGCCCAAACUCCUACGGGAGGCAGCAGUGGGGAAUAUUGCACAAUGGGGGAAACCCUGAUGCAGCGACGCCGCGUGAGCGAAGAAGUAUUUCGGUAUGUAAAGCUCUAUCAGCAGGGAAGAUAAUGACGGUACCUGACUAAGAAGCCCCGGCUAACUACGUGCCAGCCGCCGCGGUAAUAC
rnacentral:rRNA from 1 species